GCUUACGGCCAUACCACGUUGAAUACACCAGUUCUCGUCCGAUCACUGAAGUUAAGCAACGUCGGGCUCGGUUAGUACUUGGAUGGGUGACCGCCUGGGAAUACCGAGUGCCGUAAGCU
rnacentral:rRNA from 1 species